rnacentral:rRNA from 1 species
CCCUUAGAUGUCCUGGGCCGCACGCGCGUUACACUGAUGCAUUCAACGAGCUUAUAACCUUGGCCGAGAGGCCUGGGCAAUCUUGUUAACGUGCAUCGUGAUAGGGAUAGAUUAUUGAAAUUAUUAAUCUUGAACGAGGAAUUCCUAGUAAACGCAGAUCAUCAAUCUGCAUUGAUUACGUCCCUGCCCUUUGUACACACCGACCGUCGCACCUACCGAUUGGAUGGUCCGGUGAAGCCUCGGGAUUGUGGUUCUUGCCGCUUUAUUGUGGCGUGACCGCGAGAACUUGUCUAAACCUUAUCAUCUAGAGGAAGGUGAAGUCGUAACA